rnacentral:lncRNA from 1 species
GCCCACACUGUUGCCUGGGCUAGAGUGUAGUGGCACGAUCUCAGCUCACUGCAACCUCUGCCUCCCAGAUUCAAGAGAUUCUCCUGCCUCAGUUUCCCGAGCAGCUGGGAUUACAGAUGCCCGCCACCACACCCAGCUAAUUUUUUGUUUUUUUAGUAGAGACAGGGUUUCCCCAUGUUGGCCAGGCUGGUCUCAAACUCCUGACCUCAUGAUUUGCCCGCCUUGGCCUCCUAAAGUGAUGGGAUUACAGGCGUGAGCCACCGCACCCGGCCUGUAUUCAUAUAUAUAUAUAUAUGGAAGUACAGGCUCCAAAGCCCCCAUACUAUUUCCUGUUUCCUCUCCCUUGCACUGGUACAUGUUUGAUAUAUACAACUUUUCAAUAUUUUGGCAGCUUCACCUGUGAUUUUUUUUUAAUAAAAAAAGAAGGGGCAGGAGGUGACAGUAAUCAUCACAAUUUAUUUUUUCUUGUCACAUGAAAAGAAACAAAUCUUUGUGAAAUAAUUUAAUACUUUGAAGGGUGACCCAGAAACACAAGUAAUGGCUAUCAAUGCCUCUUCCAGCCAGUGAAGCUACAAGAACAAGGGAGUCCAAUGCUUCUUUUGAAGAAAGCUUUAAAUUCAUGGCACUAUUUUGGAAUAUGAGAAAAAUAUUUUAAAAUGCAUUUCUUGGCCUCUCUUGUUUUGUUUUGUUUCCUUCCUGCUGCUCUUGGGGAGUAUUAAUAAAAGAGAUGGGAUAAGUGAAAAACACAAGACAGAGAACUAUUUAUUUUUUUUCAGUUUUUUUGCCACUGAAAUGAAAAGAUUAUAAUAAUAAUAGUCACCAUUUAUUAAACUCUGCUAAGCACAUCAUGGCCUGAUUCAAUCCUUUUAGCAUCAUACAAGGAAGUUAUUAUCUCCCCUUUACAGAGAAGGCUGUGGCUGGGGAGGUAGGGGUUGAGAACUUGCCUGAAGUCAUAGCACAUCCUAGCUGCUAGGAACUAUUUUCUGAGCUAGGCUCUUCACACUGACCAUCUUAUAAAGUCUCUCACAGCAUCCCUGGAAUAAAUGCAUUAUUGUCAACAUUUUUAUAACUUACAAAAGGCUAAGUGGUAAAUUGAGGGUAGAAUUCAAACUGAGGUCUUUCCAACUCCAAAACAUGUGCUGUGAUGACCGUGCCAUAAACUUUCUCGUACCUUGUCAGAACAAAUGUACUGAAACUACCAUAGUUUCAGAACUGUAAUAAUCGAUGCAUAGUCCCCAUUGGUAGAUUUAGUGUUUUACAAUAGAGUUUCUGAAAAGCAGUUUUAAAAUACCCUUCAGCAAGCAUUUACUGAGGCCUCGUCUAGGCCAGGACUUGGGCUGGACAUUGCAGGCAUGGCCACAGUAACGAUGACUCAGAACUUGCCCCCAAGGAGUUCACAGUCUGGGAGCAUUGGGGAGAGGAGCAGAAAGUAAACUAGAGAGCACAAAACACAAAGUCACACUCUUGUAUAACAUACACUCAGUAAAAAGGAGGCCCACUAGAGCAGGGUUUCUCAACCUGGCACUAUUGCAUUUGGGGCUGUCUGAGUCUUGCUGUGGGGGCUGCCUGUGCAUUGUGGGGUAUUAGCAGCAUCUCUGAAUUCUACUCAGUAGAUACCAGUAGCCCCCCCACAACCAAAAAUGUCUCUGGACAUUGCCAAAUGUCUCCUGAGGUUGGGGGAGUGAGAAUCACUGCCCCACAGUUACAUCCUGGCAGAGUUAAGCAAUGAAACAAAAUCACUGGCCAUUAAUAAUACUAUAUGAUUUUCAAUUAAGAGCUUAUUUACACACCAAGUACCUUAGAAACCUGAUCUCAUCCCAUCCUCAUCAAAACCUUAUGGUGUGUACAAGCUGGAAUGAUGCCUAUUUUAUAGGUUAGGGCACUGAGGCACAAAGAGUUUAGUGGAUGCCUAGCUGCACAGUAGUGACCGAUAGAGCAGGCAUUUGAAGCCUGCCCUGCCAUCUUAGUCAGUGCACCGAGAUAUGAAGAGCAUUUUUAAAGUGUGCUAGGCUCUUUCAUUUUCAUUACAUGUCCACUGAUAUGGUUUGACUCUGUGUCCCCACCGAAAUCUCAUGUCGAAAUGCAAUCCCCACAUGUUGGAGGAGGGACCUGGUGGGAAGUGAUUGGAUCAUGGAGGUGGAUUUCCCUCCUACUGUUCUCGUGAUAGUGAGUGAGUUCUCAUGAGAUCCAAUGGUUUAAAAGUGUGUGGCACUUCCUCCCUUCACUCUCUCUCUCUCUCCGGCCACCAUGUGAAGAUAUGCGUGCUUCCCCUUCACCCUUCUGCCAUGAUUGUAAGUUUCCUGAGGCUUCCCCAGCCAUGCCUCCUGUACAGCCUGUGGAACUGUGAGUCAAACCCCUUUUCUUCACAAAUUACCCAGUCUCAGGUAGUUCUUUAUAUCAGUGUGAGAACAGACUAAUACAUCCACAGGCUGACCUAAUCUAAAAUUAGCAACACAAAGGAAUGAAUAUUUAUAAUUGUAUACAGUGUUAUCCUUUGUGAAUAUUCUAUCUUAUCCAUUCUGGACCUAAUUAAUCUAGUUUAUUUUGGAUGAUUUGCUUAUGGGAGUCUUGCUUUAACCAGGGAAAAUAUUUAUUAAUUCUGAAGAAUGUAGUAAGUUUCAUAUCUUGAUUUAUAUUUUGGCAGUUCAACCAUGCACUGUGUGGGGGCCAAAAAAAUCCCUAAAAAUAAUCAUAUGAUAUUGGCUAAGACCAAAUGCAGCCAGUUAUUUCUGUUGGUAUGUCUUAAUGAGGGAAAAAGGCAGAGCUGGAUGCCUCUUCUUUCUUAAAUUAAAAACAAAACAAAAUAAACAAGCAAAAAAAACUUCAAGAGACUUCAAAGGUCAGUAGAAAGUUUUCGUUUAAAUUGCCAAUUGUACAAUUUGAGGAAUGCAAGUAAACUGCCCUCAAAUAACUUUUCUAGGUAUUUUUCAAAAAAUUCUAAAGGGAAUAUUUGCUUUCUAGGCAAGGUUUUUAAAUAUUUCAUUAUCUAGGCUUAGAUAGCUUGGAUAGAAUAGUUAUUAUUUUAUAUUCAAUCUUUUACUUUAGCAGACUAUUAGGAUAUGCUUGUUGUGACUCAGUUUUUUGUAUCUACCAUCUGUUGGUUUAUUACCCAAAUCUAUAAGUAAACAUCAACAUAGGAAGCUUUACUGUCACUGAAGCUUUAUUAAAUAAAUGAGUUUAAUUGUGGAUUGUUAUCUGUGAAGUCAGGACCUGGGAGAGAAAAAAGCUACCAGCAACAUUCAGACUGAGAGAGGCCAAAAUACUAAUUCAUAAUUAGCCUGGUACAUAUGAAGGAUCAAAAAGAACAGGACUGUAUGUCUGACCUCUGACAGGCCCUACCACCAUAGUAGAGACUCAGUAUGUAUACUUAAUGAAGGAAUAAUGAAUACAUCAGCAAGAGAAAUAAGAGUGACCAUAUGUUCCUUAAGAGAAGCAAAGAGCAGCUCCUGUUCCUGCAACACGGAUGAAGCUGAAGGCCAUUAUCCUAAGUGAGUUAACACAGGAAUAGAAAACCAAAUACCGCAUA